GACGAACGCGGCGGCGUGCUUAACACAUGCAAGUCGAACGGGAACCUUUAUUUCGGUAAAGGUGAGAGUGGCAAACGGGUGAGUAACACGUAGGCAACCUGCCGACAGGAUGGGGACAACAUUCCGAAAGGAAUGCUAAUACCGAAUGGAGUCCGAGGAUGGCAUCAUCCUUGGAUCAAAGAUGGCCUCUUAACAAUGCUAUCGCCUGUCGAUGGGCCUGCGUCUGAUUAGCCAGUUGGCGGGGUAACGGCCCACCAAAGCGACGAUCAGUAGCCGGUCUGAGAGGAUGAACGGCCACAUUGGGACUGAGACACGGCCCAGACUCCUACGGGAGGCAGCAGUGGGGAAUCUUCCACAAUGGGCGAAAGCCUGAUGGAGCAACGCCGCGUGAGUGAAGAAGGUCUUCGGAUCGUAAAGCUCUGUUGCACGGGACGAAAACUGGGUUUGAAAACAUUGAACCUGGGUGACG
rnacentral:rRNA from 1 species